UAUUUUACAACCACUUAACAAUAUGGCAUACUUCUUUCUGUGCCAGAUAUGUUUCAGUUUUGUGACCAGAACAAAAGACAUUAAAUUAUUAAUUAGUUAAUACAAUGUUAACUGUGUUCUUUUUCAUAUUUAAUAGGUCAGAGUUCAUCUGUUCUUUCUUACUUCAAAUGUUUUUUUUUUUUUCUACUUUGCAGAUUAGUUUUAUUUCAAAACUUAAUUAUUAAUCUAAGUGCUUUGUUUUUUAUACAAUGAUUAUUCCUUUAAUUUUGUUUCUAAAAAGUAUGUUUUUAAUUGCUGAUUGCUUUGAACUUGAGUGUUUGACAUGAUUGGGAAAUAGUAGUGUGAAAAUACUAAGAUUGGUUUAGAAUGAAUGGCACUGAUUAUCAGAUGAAAAUAUAAAGUUCUUUGUCAAUGUUGUAUUUUGGAAUUAAAGAAAUAAGGGAGUGGUACGGUUAUUCUUAACUGUUGGCAACAUAUUUUCUGAUAUUUUUUUUUAUGCAAAUCUUUUUGGUCAUCUAUGCUUGUAUUUUGUAUAUUUGCUUUUGAUACACAUCCAUUAACUAAUGUCAAACCUUAUCUUAACAAGCUUACUUGUUCUUUGUCUGACAGUUUAAGUAUUAUUAUGAAGCUUAUUUAUUUUUUUUAAAAAUCAACAGUUAGUAUAAGUAUAAUAUAUAUUUAACAACAGUUGGCAUUCUGUUGCUUAAAUUUAGACUUUAGAAAAAUUAAAUUAUGAAGGUUUUGACUAGAUUUAUCUGUCAUUCUUGUGUUGCAUUCUGAAUUUUGUUGUUGUUUAUUUAUAGUCUAUGACUUAGAUGUUUAGAUAUAGCCAACCUUUAAGAAUCUCCAUUGCUUUUUUUUUUUUUAAAGAAAACAGUUUGUUGGUUUUUAGACUUUUAACAAAAAGUAAAUCCAAAAUACAUGUAUGUUUAAUGGUUCAUUUGUUGUUUUUUCAAAUGGAAAUUGAAAAAUAAAUUAUGAAAAAUUUUCU